CGGACGGGUGAGUAACGCGUGGGGAACCUGCCUCAUACAGGGGAAUAACAGUUAGAAAUGACUGCUAAUGCCGCAUAAGCGCACAGUGUCGCAUGACACAGUGUGAAAAACUCCGGUGGUAUGAGAUGGCCCCGCGUCUGAUUAGGCAGUUGGCGGGGUAACGGCCCACCAAACCGACGAUCAGUAGCCGACCUGAGAGGGUGACCGGCCACAUUGGGACUGAGACACGGCCCAAACUCCUACGGGAGGCAGCAG
rnacentral:rRNA from 1 species